AGUACACAAAAAACUAUAGCUUAAGCAAAAUCGUAUGAAAACAUUUUAAUUUUAUCAAUCCUCUCACAACAAAUCGUAGAGGAGCGUCUCCAACUACACACCACCACAUUUGCAUUGAUCCCAAUCCCCAAAAAAAAUUCUGAGUUCUCUUCAAUUUCACCAUAUUUCUUUCUUCUUCGAUCCAAAAUCAGGAACUUAGAAAAAAAAAAAAAAUCAAGAUAGAGAUAAGAGAAAAAUGGGGGUGGCUCAAGCGAUGGAGGCCCUAACCAAACGAGCAGGUUUGAUGAAGGAGUCUCUACAAAAGAGCCAGACCAUUACCGACAACAUGGUCGGAAUCCUAGGUUCCUUUGAUCACCGUCUCUCGGCUCUUGAAACAGCCAUGCGUCCCACCCAGAUAAGAACACAUUCUAUAAGGAGAGCUCACGAGAAUAUUGACAAGACAUUAAAAGCAGCUGAGGUUAUAUUGGAUCAAUUUGAUCUCAGUAAAAAGG